UACGUAGGGAGCAAGCGUUGUCCGGAUUUACUGGGUGUAAAGGGUGCGUAGGCGGAUCUGCAAGUCAGGCGUGAAAUCCAUGGGCUUAACCCAUGAACUGCGCUUGAAACUGUGGGUCUUGAGUGAAGUAGAGGUAGGCGGAAUUCCCGGUGUAGCGGUGAAAUGCGUAGAGAUCGGGAGGAACACCAGUGGCGAAGGCGGCCUACUGGGCUUUAACUGACGCUGAGGCACGAAAGUGUGGGUAGCAAACAGG
rnacentral:rRNA from 1 species